AUUGAACGCUGGCGGCAUGCUUUACACAUGCAAGUCGAACGGUAACAGGCCGCAAGGUGCUGACGAGUGGCGAACGGGUGAGUAAUGCAUCGGAACGUGCCCAGUCGUGGGGGAUAACGCAGCGAAAGCUGCGCUAAUACCGCAUACGAUCUAUGGAUGAAAGCGGGGGACCGUAAGGCCUCGCGCGAUUGGAGCGGCCGAUGUCAGAUUAGGUAGUUGGUGGGGUAAAGGCUCACCAAGCCAACGAUCUGUAGCUGGUCUGAGAGGACGAACAGCCACACUGGGACUGAGACACGGCCCAGACUCCUACGGGAGGCAGCAGUGGGGAAUUUUGGACAAUGGGCGCAAGCCUGAUCCAGCAAUGCCGCGUGCAGGAAGAAGGCCUUCGGGUUGUAAACUGCUUUUGUACGGAACGAAACGGUCCUGGUUAAUACCUGGGCUAAUGACGGUACCGUAAGAAUAAGCACCGGCUAACUACGUGCCAGCAGCCGCCGUAAAAC
rnacentral:rRNA from 1 species